ACACUGACUUCGACCUGAGAUCAGACGAGAUCACCCGCUGAAUUUAA
rnacentral:rRNA from 1 species